AAGUCGUAACAAGGUAACCGUAGGUGAACCUGCGGUUGGAUCAUUAAUAAAUUUAAUGAAUGUUGGUGAAGAGGUUAGCUCUUUGUGAGGUAGGCUUUUGUUAUGAGGUUGGCUUUGAUCACAAGGUCGCUUUUGGUAAAAGGUUCGCCUUCAGAAGUCGUUUGGCUUUUGGUUACGGGGUUCGCCUUCAAAUGUCGAUGCCUUGAGAAUCCGUUUCCUUUAGUCGCUUUGGUUAAGAGAGUUAGCCUUUGAUCCAAUAUUUCAACCAAAAUGUGAAUUUGAAAAUGUCUUUUGAUGGGUUAAAACAAAGCGUAUAGCUUUGAGACGCAAGUCUACCCAUCAAUUAUAUUUAACCAAGUAUUUCCAAUAUUGACACUAGUAUAUUUUAAAUCUAAUUUAAAAAACAACUUUUGACAACGGAUCUCUUGGCUCUC
rnacentral:misc_RNA from 1 species